rnacentral:lncRNA from 1 species
CGGGUUCGGCAGGUCGGGGGUUCGGAGGCGGCGCGGCUGGGAAGUCUACUCGGGGCGGCUUAACAGGUGGGACAUGACUCCCAGGGAUGAGCCUCCCUGGCACCGAGGAAUUACUACCGAGCACUGACUGGUGACACAACUGGAAAAAGACCCUGAAUAAAAGGGGGA